GAAUUAGUCAUGAACAUGCACUAACAGAUUUUUAAUCCCUUUAUGUUAGCUUUUACUGAAAUGAAAAGUUUCUUUGCAGCAAAAAUUGGCACAGAUGCUUUCUCGAUUGAUCAAGAUAGCUGAGGAAUUUAACGUUGCUGUUUAUAUGACAAAUCAGGUCAUAGCUGAUCCUGGAGGUGGUAUCUUCAUUACUGAUCGAAGAAACCAGCAGGGGGGCAUGUGCUAGCUCAUGCGGCCACCAUAAGGCUAAUGUUCAGGAAGGGGAAAGGUGAACAGCGCGUUUACAAAUUGUUUGAUGCCCCAAACCUGCCAGAGGCUGAAGCAAUAUCCUUUAUCAGACUUUCCCCCCUUAAAAUAAUCUAUUCACUGAAUGAUUUGGAGAAUUCUAAGGUAUUUUUGGGAUUACGUAGAAAGGAAACAACUUGAAUGGUCUGUGUCAAGUGAAUGGUCUCCAAAUGGGUGCUAUUUCAUGACAGCAACCACAACACCGAGGCUUCAAGUUGAUAAUGGGAUCAAGAUGUUUCACUAUAACGGGUCAUUGUACUUCAAGCAGAUGUUUGACAAGUUAUACCAGGUCAGUAGUAUCUCGAACUCUUGCUGAUUAUUGUUUUUGUAUAUCCUUUCCGCAGAUGUCA